rnacentral:rRNA from 1 species
ACCGGCAGCUAGCUCUCUGCAACUCUCACAUGGUCGCCCACUGAAGCUAUGCAGGGCUGUGCCCGCUGAGUACCUGGAUAGGAAACCACAUGGGAAUGCUAGGUUGCAUCCGGAA